UGCACAAAAGUACUGUUUUAAAAGUUUAAAUUAUCUGGAGUCCAAGAACGGAUUAAUCCAUUUUACAUUAAUUCUUAUGGGGAAAAUAGUUUCAGUUUACGAACAUUUCAAUUUAUGAACGACCUUCAGGAACGAAUUAAGUUCUUGACCUGGAUUUGACCACGAUCAUCCAGGAAGAUAAGCCCCUCAGCUUUACCAUCCGGCCGAUUCAUUUAUUAAGAGAAAAUCAAGUAUGCUAAUGCAAUAUUCCAAUAAGUGUUACAUCGAUUUUAUCCACAUGGCAUUUAUGAAAUUUAGAAGAGCGUGUAAAAAUGAAUUACAUUUUCACUUCAUACGCAAUUCCUGACAUUCAACUUAAAAUAAUUCAUAUCUUUCCUAUUUUGUUUAUCUUACUGUUUUUGUAUUUCCCACUAACUACUUUUGAAACAACAAAUUUUCUUAAAUUCUAUUACAGACAACAUAUUUUCAUCCUGCAUAUCAGCCAUGCACAGAUCGCCUUCCUCUGUCGAUUUGUUGGAGGUGGGCCUCACCACUUGUUACUUUAACAAGUCACGCAAUCAAAGAAAUAUUAUUUGUGCUUUUGAACAAUGCAUUUUCAUAUAACAAUGUUUGAUGCGAAAUUAUUUUUAUGAUGGUCUGAUGAAAAUGUUUUUAAACAAUAAGCAAAAAUGAUAAUCGUAUUUCUGUAAUAAUCAACAUGUUUUUAUCUUUACUGUCUUUAUGUGGGCGAAAUAGCUCAUUUAAAAAGUGCACACGCUCAGAAGGUUGCACUGCGCUUAAAUAAUGACAAUCUACAACCAGUUUUGCAUUUAGCUACCAUCGGUAUCGAACCUAAUAAGGAAAAAAAUUGUUAGAUCAAUACUGUGCCACGCAUCCAAUUAAAAAUUCCUUGUUUUCUUUACGUUUCUUUGCAAUAUGUAAUUUGUAAACAGCAUAUGAUAUAAAAUUUUCGUGUUUUUUGCUGGCCCUCUUAUAAAUCACAGUAAAUCAAUGCGGCUCUUGGCCUUAACAAGUCUGUGCAUCCCUGUUCUACAUAAAAUCAUUUUAAAAUUCCUUCAUCUGCAUUGUAGAGUGGAACAUACGGAAGGAAAUUAAGAGAUUAGUUUUAUCAGAAAUUAAUUAAUGAAUAAAUAUUUUAUUUCAAUCAUAAAAUCGUGUAUUUGAAGUUAAAAUUAAAUAUUUAUUCUUCUUCUUCUUCUUCUUCUAACUGUUCAUAUGGAGGAUAUGGCCCACCUGCC
rnacentral:lncRNA from 1 species